UUGCUUCAACUAUAUUAGAAUGAAAUACAUUAUUUUUGCUUUCAUAUAAUGUUAAUGGAUCCUUUUGACGUUUACGCUACUUUAAACUGGUCUUGGACAAUUAGCUAACGUUAGCUUUUGGGGUAAGCAAGGGUUAAUGAAAUGUUCAUUUUAUCCAUGUACAAAUUAAUUUAGCAACGCUUUUUAUCCGAAGCGACUUAAUUUGGUCAAUUUACUUGUUACUUCAGGGCUAGUCUCCCUUAGAGCAACUUGGGCUGAGAUUUUAACCCACAAUUUCCAGGCUAGCAUGCUAGCCUGAUUCCUUAACCGCUGCCGCAUCCUCUGUAAGCCAGAAAAUAAUUGAGAUGUGUUCUAUGUAGUGAGAUACGUGUUUGUAUGUUAAAAUAAUGAUUUUAUACAGUUAGGCGUGUAUCCAAGUAUCAAAUGAUGAAUCAUGCCUUCUCCCUCCGCCCCCGUCUCUUCAGCCCCAGGACCGAGGCGUUCAGGUGGCGUGACUGGCGUGCCCUGUCUGCAAUCCUCCCUUUCACCCCAGGACCGAGGCGUUGAGGUGGCGUGAAUUCGGCGUGCCCUGUCUGCAUUCCUGCCUUUCAGUAAGGUACUGUAAGUGACCGAGGCGUUGAGGUGGUGUGACUGACGUGAAUUCGGCGUGCCCUGUCUGCAAUCCUGCCUUUCAGUAAGGGGCAGUAAGGACAAGAUCCACCCACCACCCAGUGCAUGCUACAUGUGUGUGUAAUAAAUUGAGAGGGAAAGUGUGUGUGAUAAAUGAAAUUUAAUAAAGUAAGUACAAUUUUGAAUUUGUGCUUCUUUUCUGAAAUAGAU